AGCAGCCGCGGUAAUUCCAGCUCCAAUAGCGUAUAUUAAAGUUGUUGCAGUUAAAAAGCUCGUAGUUGAAUUUCGGGGUUAGUAGGUUGGUCAUGCCUCUGGUAUGUACUGGUCUCACUGAUUCCUCCUUCCUGAUGAACCUUAAUGCCAUUUAUUUGGUGUUUUGGGGAAUUUGGACUGUUACUUUGAAAAAAUUAGAGUGUUUAAAGCAAGCUAACGCUUGAAUACAUUAGCAUGGAAUAAUGAAAUAGGACGUUCGAUCCUAUUUUGUUGGUUUCUAGGAUUGACGUAAUGAUUAAUAGGGAUAGUUGGGGGCAUUAGUAUUCAAUUGUCAGAGGUGAAAUUCUUGGAUUUAUUGAAGACUUAACUACUGCGAAAGCAUUUGCCAAGGAUGUUUUCAUUAAUCAAGAACGAAAGUUAGGGGAUCGAAGACGAUCAGAUACCGUCGUAGUCU
rnacentral:rRNA from 1 species